GACGAACGCUGGCGGCGUGCUUAACACAUGCAAGUCGAACGGAAAGGCCCUGCUUUUGUGGGGUGCUCGAGUGGCGAACGGGUGAGUAACACGUGAGUAACCUGCCCUUGACUUUGGGAUAACUUCAGGAAACUGGGGCUAAUACCGGAUAGGAGCUCCUGCUGCAUGGUGGGGGUUGGAAAGUUUCGGCGGUUGGGGAUGGACUCGCGGCUUAUCAGCUUGUUGGUGGGGUAGUGGCUUACCAAGGCUUUGACGGGUAGCCGGCCUGAGAGGGUGACCGGCCACAUGGGGACUGAGAUACGGCACAGACUCCUACGGGAGGCAACAGUGGGGAAUAGUGCACAAUGGGCGGAAGCCUGAUGCAGCAGCGCCGCGUGCGGGAUGACGGCCUUCGGGUUGUAAACCUCUUUCGCCGGUGACGAAGCGUGAGUGACGGUAAUGGGUAAAGAAGCACCGGCUAACUACGUG
rnacentral:rRNA from 1 species